GGGAGCUACUGAUUUAAGCCAUUCAUUUUCCUUCAAAGUAAAUACCACAGAUAUUUCUCUGAUGAAGUCUAAAUUUACUGUAAAACUAAGACUUGAAGAGUUUAGAAGAAAAUCAGUUUAUAGCAAACACUUCUGGUGAAUUUUUUUUUUAGCUUGAUCAAAUUUGGUAUUAAAUGUGGCUCUCUGCACCAUUAUAUGCGUAGCCACACGACUCUGUUUUGUGUAUCAGGUAACCUGAGACUCAGGUGUGCUGUGUCUCUAAGCUCAGGGAGAUCUGUACGCAGCCAUAGCUCAUGCAGCAAAACAAGAAAGCAGCCUCUAAGGAGAACGAAAGCCAAGCCAAGAAGACAAGACACUCUCUCAGAUCUCUCCAGAUAUGCCGCUAGGCAGGAAAAUUCGGGCCUCAUCUGCUGGAGCCCAACUUGAGACCCAUAACAAGCCCAGUUAUUUAGACUCGGCAGAGAGGAGCCAACAGCUUCCCGAUUGGCUGGAGAGAGAGCUUUUGAGGCAAGAACCCAGACGACACACUCUUACCCUGGGAGAUGUUGCUAAACUCAGCAUGCAUCAGUGCUACAGAGCAGAUCCUGUCGGCACCCUCUAUGGGCUCAAGGUAAAAGUCAAAGGGUCAUGCUUGUGCAGCAUCUGCUGCUUGGCUGCAUUUCCCAGCAAUUAUAUUCCACCUAGAUUGAAUGGCAACUUGCCCCAGCAUCAUCUUUCACCGGCCAAGGUAUGCAAAUUAAAUGUUAUAAUGAUAUACGAGGAGGUUGGGCAGCUGGACUGAGGUACUCCUCAAAUCCAUAAUAUUGCAUUUUAAAUUAGAGUCUAAUACAAUGCUUUAAUAUGUUUUUUUUUUUAUGUUUUAUAUUAACUCAUAAAUUUAACCCCGCCCCCUCCUCAACAGACUCCGCCCCUCCUAUGAUUCAAAUCUUUUUGUUCUAACUGACCCGGCUGUAAACAGACCAUAAAGCAUCAACUUUAGGUACGUUACAAGGUGUACAAGUAUCUUUUAAUAUCUGCUCUUAACCAUAUCAUAUGCUGUGUAGACAAGCCGUUUAUUCUUCAAUAAGCAUUUUUUUAUGUCUCAAGUUUUGAUGUGGAUGUAACGAGAUUACAAUUGCCAUUUUAGUCAGACUCCUUUCAGUCUCCUGUCCUCAGGGUGUCAGUGGAGUAUAAUGGAUUACUCUUCCUAUAUCAAACAUUCAUUAAACAAACCAAAACCAAAUCAUGAACCUUUGCCUGAAAUGACAUUUUGAAUCUAGUACAGAAUCCAUUAAUUCAUUAGCUGGAUGACCUUUGGAUGGGCAAACAUUGCAGAGUAAUUUGUCAUGACUACCGAUCGGAUGAAAUGACACAGUAGAGAUGCAUCAUUUAUUUCAACAGAGUGCUUGAACUUGCACCCCAGUAAGCAAAUCAAUUACUUUUUCCUUAUCAAGGCCAAAAUUGUUCGUGCUGGAGGUAAUUUGCCAUCUGACUGCACACUGAAAUAGGCAUGAAAGUUAUAAUCUAUAUUUAUCACUGUAAAAGAGCAAGUAAGUACAAGAAGGGACACUGCUAACUACAUCUUUCAGUAGUGUGACAGUAGCUCAGCUGUUUUUAGUAAAUUUAAAUGUUCAUAUUGCUGUUUAAUGCAGUCAGCCUAAUUGUUUUUGUGGCAAAUGCAUUGCUUAUUAUCAAUUCCUAGGCCAACUGGGAAUGCUAAUUUACUUUGGGUUCCCUCUGUAAUGUCCUAUGGACUUUUAGAAUCAUGAUUUGUGAGUAAAUUAAGGUCUGUGAUUACUUGAAGAAACUUUUAAGUCUCAAAACUGAAUUUUGAAGCAGCAGCGGGUUUUUUUUUCUUCUUAACUUAAAGAAAUAAUUCACACACAAAAUAAAAUUAGCUGAAAAUUUAGUCACCCUCAGGCCAUCCAAGAUGUAGAUGAGUAUGUUUCUUUAUAAGAACAUAGACAAAUUUAGCAUUAUGUUAUUUCCACAGCAAUGAAUAAUUUAAUAUAAUAUAGUAAUUGUAAUAUAAUUUUACAUAUUAAAAAAAAACACUAUAAAAUCCAUUGGAAGUUCAAGAAGAAAUACUUUGUGUGUGUGUGUAUUUUAUCAUCAUAUUAUAGUGCAUCAUUUCUUUAUUCAUGGUGGACGGUUUGACUGGCAUGUAAUUUUUUGAUUUCUUGCAGACAGCAGUCUGAUGAAGCAAGUGCCAUUUGAUCCACAACAUAAUUAAAGUGUAUCAUGUUCAAACAAAGUCAGUUCAAUUUCAAGUGAAUUCAUUAAUGUAAGGAGCAGAACAUGUGACAGCAGCAGCCUGUCGAAAACCAGCAGCUGUUUUAUUUUUUGACAUGCUGGAAGGUGCUGUUUGAUCAUCCAAAUGUCAAACAACACUAGUCGAUUUAUACUUGAAUUAUCAUCCAUCAUCGAGUAACUCUAUGAUGUUCUUCUCUGUUUAUCCUCUCUGUAGUUUUCAAAUAGAGUUAAUACAUGUUCCUUCAAACUCACAUGUUGUAUAAUGAUUUGAGAUUUAAUGUAUUUUUACUGUCCAAUAUAGAUUGAGCAGAUGGUGUCCAUUCAUGAUCUAAAGCACAUUAAACUGGCUUAUGAUGUAAGUAUUAAAAAUAUUUUGAUUACUUGGAAAUCUUAAAAAAUUAAGUGUUUUUCUUAAUUAUGUUCUCUUGUGCAGGAGUUUGCAAAGGCUGGCAUCUAUAUGCUGGAUUAUGAAGAAUUCCAGUCUGUUGUGAAAAAAUGCCCAGGAUUGAAAUUAGUUGUAAGUAUGAUUGCAACCACUGCCUUUCUAUGAUAAAUUAUCUUUUUCGCUGUCUGCAAAAUAAUGUACUGAGAGAUAUAGAUAUUCAGUUAUAAACUGUUGCUGAUGUAAAGGAUUAAUGGAGACCCAAGGCCUAAAAUCUUUAUCAUAUGAUUGUACAAUCUUUUCUCUCUCAACCAUUUCUUUGGCUAACACUUUUCGAAAUGUCACAGAAAGAUUGUCAAAUUCAGCAGCUAUUCAUGAAGAUCGAUUACACUGGCGAUGGCAGAAUCGAGUUAGUAUGAAUAAUUCACUGUUUCCCCUUUAAAUCUCAAACUUGCUCUCAUUUAAUAGAUGAAGAGACGAUUUGUUAAAUGCGGUUGAGUUUUUGCACUUGAAAAACCUUUGGGCAAGUUGUCAAAAUGGGUCUCAUUCACUAACCUUACAUACAGACAUAUUUUUGUAUAAAAAUUGC
ensembl:lncRNA